rnacentral:rRNA from 1 species
UACGGAGGGGGCUAGCGUUGUUCGGAAUUACUGGGCGUAAAGCGCACGUAGGCGGCUUUGUAAGUUAGAGGUGAAAGCCCAGGGCUUAACCCUGGAAUUGCCUUUAAGACUGCAUCGCUAGAAUCGUGGAGAGGUGAGUGGAAUUCCGAGUGUAGAGGUGAAAUUCGUAGAUAUUCGGAAGAACACCAGUGGCGAAGGCGACUUACUGGACACAUAUUGACGCUGAGGUGCGAAAGCGUGGGGAGCAAA